rnacentral:rRNA from 1 species
ACGGGUGAGUAAUGCUUUGGAAUCUUCCCAGUAGUGGGGAACAACCAGUCGAAAGAUUGGCUAAUACCGCAUACGUCUGUGAAGAGAAAGCGGGGGAUCGUAAGACCUCGCGCUAUUGGAUGAGCCAAAGUCGGAUUAGCUAGUUGGUGAGGUAAUGGCUCACCAAGGCGACAAUCCGUAGCUGGUCUGAGAGGACGACCAGCCACACCGGAACUGAGACACGGUCCGGACUCCUACGGGAGGCAGCAGUGGGGAAUAUUGGACAAUGGGGGAAACCCUGAUCCAGCGACGCCGCGUGUGUGAAGAAGGCCUGCGGGUUGUAAAGCACUUUUAGUGGGGACAAAAAGUCACGGAUUAAUACUCUGUGAUCUUGAUUUAACUCACAGAAAAAGCACCGGCUAACUCUGUGCCAGCAGCCGCGG